CCGGUCUCUCGCACCAUUUUUGGCAAAGCUACAGAACAGGACCAAAGAUUAACCGGCUGUAGACACUGAGCUAGAGCAUCAGCAAGAUAUCGCUUAUGUGACCUACGUACAUGACACUAUUCUGACUAGCAAACAUGCAAAGCUUGCCGGUUGGAUGUGCUGUGACUGAAUGAAGAUGGCCGCUGCGCCUUUAUAUAUAAGCGGAGGAGCUGCAGAACUUUCUGGAGCUUUGAGGAACAAGAUAUUUCUACAGCCUUCUUUUUAGUCCACAAACCCCGAGCUGCUGUUAGAGGGAGCUGGCGAGCCUCUGUGUGUCUGUAUGUGUGUGUGUUUGCUGUACAAUAACCUUACCCCUUGCGAAAUAAUGUUACAGUCAUGUAUUCAGAAAAAUAAACCAAAUACCCCCGUUUAAUUGAAUUUAACUGGUAGCGUCUCAGUGUCAAAAUAAACGAUAUUAUUUACAGUUAGAAAAGUAGAAUAUUGAUAUCUGUGGCUAACCUCACACAUGCAUAUUUUGCUCUUAAUUACUGAUUAGUAUUCAUGUUUAAAUCAGUUCUUGAUUGGUCAGAUAUUGAUUAAUUUUCCAUAACAGAACAUCUUGGACAGUUCUGACUGCUAGGCAAAUCACAGGUUUAUCCUAAUACACAAUUACCUUAUCAUUACUAUAGUAACAGCUAAUUCACAGGCACUUCUGUGGCCGAUGCACCACAUAAUCUAAAACUAAUAAACACAUUUUUAAAAAUGUUAUUUAACAAGUAAAGGCUUAUAAUUACUGAUGUGGUGAAGAGUUCUGUAAUAAGGAGACCAUAAUGGGAGAGUCUUCAGGACAGCAGACUUUGUGCUUUCUGAUUUCUCAUUAACGUCAAGAGAGAAGAAAAGAGAGAGUCUGGUGAGGGAAUGAAAGUGAUGCCGGGAACUGACUUGUUGCACCUAUGUUCCACAAGAGUAAAUUUAACUAUAAACACAUUAAAAUGUAUGAUGUCAUUCUGUAAUAAAUAAAUUGUUAGCAUUUGCAAAUUGCUGUGGUAUAAAUGGAAUAAAACAUGUCGGUGCAUACUGUAGGAUAAUAAUCAACUUCGGUGUAGUAACAGUAAUCCCUCUUGGUGUUGGGCUGCAACAGAUGUCCCUGUCACUGAAACUAUUCAUUUAAUUCAUUUGAAAAGCGCAUUGCAUUAACUUAAAAAAAAAAAAGUGAGAUGUGUGAAAUGUGAGAGAGAAAAUGUGAGUGUGGUGAGGAGAUGACUCUUAUAGCUGCUAUAAUGUAAGUGAUAACAGGUCCUUGUUUUGCAAACAUUUUACAACAUUAAAUAUAUUUAUUUACUGGUAAAAGAUAUUGUUAAUUGAAACUGUGGUUUAAAAGUAAUAAAACAUUUCAGUUGGUGUUGGGCCACAUCACA